ensembl:rRNA 5S_rRNA 5S ribosomal RNA
UGAUGAAAUCAUGCCAACCUGAACAUGCCCGAUUUUAUCUGAUUUUGGAAGUUCAGUAGUGUCAGAUCUGGUUUAGGGUCUGGAUGGGAAACCAUCAAGGAACAUCAGAGAUCUCUAGAU